rnacentral:rRNA from 1 species
AGGGUGACAGCCCCGUACACAAAAAUGCACAUGCUGUGAGCUCGAUGAGUAGGGCGGGACACGUGGUAUCCUGUCUGAAUAUGGGGGGACCAUCCUCCAAGGCUAAAUACUCCUGACUGACCGAUAGUGAACCAGUACCGUGAGGGAAAGGCGAAAAGAACCCCGGCGAGGGGAGUGAAAAAGAACCUGAAACCGUGUACGUACAAGCAGUGGGAGCACGCUUAGGCGUGUGACUGCGUACCUUUUGUAUAAUGGGUCAGCGACUUAUAUUCUGUAGCAAGGUUAACCGAAUAGGGGAGCCGAAGGGAAACCGAGUCUUAACUGGGCGUUAAGUUGCAGGGUAUAGACCCGAAACCCGGUGAUCUAGCCAUGGGCAGGUUGAAGGUUGGGUAACACUAACUGGAGGACCGAACCGACUAAUGUUGAAAAAUUAGCGGAUGACUUGUGGCUGGGGGUGAAAGGCCAAUCAAACCGGGAGAUAGCUGGUUCUCCCCGAAAGCUAUUUAGGUAGCGCCUCGUGAAUUCAUCUCCGGGGGUAGAGCACUGUUUCGGCAAGGGGGUCAUCCCGACUUACCAACCCGAUGCAAACUGCGAAUACCGGAGAAUGUUAUCACGGGAGACACACGGCGGGUGCUAACGUCCGUCGUGAAGAGGGAAACAACCCAGACCGCCAGCUAAGGUCCCAAAGUCAUGGUUAAGUGGGAAACGAUGUGGGAAGGCCCAGACAGCCAGGAUGUUGGCUUAGAAGCAGCCAUCAUUUAAAGAAAGCGUAAUAGCUCACUGGUCGAGUCGGCCUGCGCGGAAGAUGUAACGGGGCUAAACCAUGCACCGAAGCUGCGGCAGCGACGCUGAUGCGUUGUUGGGUAGGGGAGCGUUCUGUAAGCCUGCGAAGGUGUGCUGUGAGGCAUGCUGGAGGUAUCAGAAGUGCGAAUGCUGACAUAAGUAACGAUAAAGCGGGUGAAAAGCCCGCUCGCCGGAAGACCAAGGGUUCCUGUCCAACGUUAAUCGGGGC